UACGGAGGGAGCUAGCGUUGUUCGGAAUUACUGGGCGUAAAGCGCACGUAGGCGGCUUUGUAAGUUAGAGGUGAAAGCCCGGGGCUCAACCCCGGAAUAGCCUUUAAGACUGCAUCGCUUGAAUCCGGGAGAGGUGAGUGGAAUUCCGAGUGUAGAGGUGAAAUUCGUAGAUAUUCGGAAGAACACCAGUGGCGAAGGCGGCUCACUGGACCAGUAUUGACGCUGAGGUGCGAAAGCGUGGGGAGCAAACAGG
rnacentral:rRNA from 1 species